rnacentral:rRNA from 1 species
UACGGAGGGUGCAAGCGUUGUCCGGAUUCAUUGGGUUAAAGGGUGCGCAGGCGGGCCAUUAAGUCAGGGGUGAAAGACGGUUGCUCAACAAUCGCAGUGCCUUUGAUACUGGUGUCUUGGGUGACCUUGAGGUAGGCGGAAUGGGUGGUGUAGCGGUGAAAUGCAUAGAUACCACCCAGAACUCCGAUUGCGAAGGCAGCCUACUGGAGGUCACCGACGCUCAGGCACGAAAGCGUGGGGGGAUCAAACAGG